CCCUUAGAUGUUCUGGGCCGCACGCGCGCUACACUGACACGUUCAUCAAGUCUAUAACCUUGACCGAGAGGUCUGGGUAAUCUUUUAAAAACGUGUCGUGCUGGGGAUAGAUUAUUGCAAUUAUUAAUCUUCAACGAGGAAUUCCUAGUAAACGCAAGUCAUCAACUUGCAUUGAUUACGUCCCUGCCCUUUGUACACACCGCCCGUCGCUACUACCGAUUGAAUGAUUUAGUGAGUACCAGGGACCGAGCGCUUGGGUUGGGUUUCCUUCCCUAGCGCUUGGGAACUGUCGCAAACUUGACCAUUUAGAGGAAGUAAAAGUCGUAACA
rnacentral:rRNA from 1 species